rnacentral:rRNA from 1 species
UACGAAGGGUGCAAGCGUUACUCGGAAUUACUGGGCGUAAAGGGCGCGUAGGCGGCCUUCUAAGUCGAACGUGAAAUCCCCGGGCUCAACCCGGGAACUGCGUCCGAUACUGGAAGGCUUGAAUCCGGGAGAGGGAUGCGGAAUUCCAGGUGUAGCGGUGAAAUGCGUAGAUAUCUGGAGGAACACCGGUGGCGAAGGCGGCAUCCUGGACCGGCAUUGGCGCUGAGGCGCGAAAGCGUGGGGAGCAAACAGG